rnacentral:rRNA from 1 species
UACAGAGGUCUCAAGCGUUGUUCGGAUUCAUUGGGCGUAAAGGGUGUGUAGGUGGCGCCGUAAGUCGGGUGUGAAAUCUCGGGGCUUAACUCCGAAACUGCAUUCGAUACUGCGGUGCUUGAGGACUGGAGAGGAGACUGGAAUUCAUGGUGUAGCGGUGGAAUGCGCAGAUAUCAGGAGGAACACCAAUAGCGAAGGCAGCUCGCUGGGACGUUACUGACACUGAGGCGCGAAAGCGUGGGGAGCGAACAGG